rnacentral:rRNA from 1 species
UACGUAGGUGGCGAGCGUUGUCCGGAUUUACUGGGCGUAAAGAGCGCGCAGGCGGUCGAUCAAGUCGAGUGUGAAAGCCCCCGGCUCAACUGGGGAGGGUCAUUCGAUACUGAUCGACUCGAAGGCAGGAGAGGGUAGUGGAAUUCCUGGUGUAGCGGUGAAAUGCGCAGAUAUCAGGAGGAACACCGGUGGCGAAGGCGGGUCUCUGGGCAACAACUGACGCUGAGGAGCGAAAGCGUGGGGAGCGAACAGG